GCCCUCGUAGUUCAAUGGAUAGAACAGUGCACUCCUAACGCGCUGAUAGAGGUUCGAUUCCUCUCGAGGGCACCA
rnacentral:tRNA from 1 species